rnacentral:rRNA from 1 species
GUCUAUGGCCAUGCCACCUUGAAUAAGCCCGAUGUCUGAUCUUGGAAGCUAAGCAGAGUUGUGCCUGGUUAGUUUUUGGAUGGGAGAUCACCUAGGAAGACCAGUUGCUGUAGGCA